rnacentral:rRNA from 1 species
UACGAAGGGUGCAAACGUUGCUCUGGAAUCAUUGGGCGUAAAGCGCGCGUAGGCGGCUACUUAAGUCGGAUGUGAAAGCCCCCGGCUCAACUGGGGAGGUCACGCGAUACUGAUCGACUCGAAGGCAGGAGAGGGUAGUGGAAUUCCCGGUGUAGUGGUGAAAUGCGUAGAUAUCGGGAGGAACACCAGUGGCGAAGGCGACUACCUGGCCUGUUCUUGACGCUGAGGCGCGAAAGCUAGGGGAGCAAACGGG